rnacentral:lncRNA from 1 species
CCAGUCCAGAGCUUCAACAGCACUGUCUGGGAAAAGGAGGUUCUGACUGACCUGCAGAUCUCUAACCCCCAAAUUCCACUACCUCCGCUCCGCUCCGCUCCGACACGAACGCCGGCGCAAAAUCGGUCCCGUUGUAGUCAAUCAGAGCAAUUCCACUACUGCGGCCGUGCUCCGGCAGUUCGGCGCCGUGCGCCGCCCUCUGUUCCGGCGUCCGGCAAAAAUAGAAUCGAUCCUAUUUUCGCCGGACGCCGGAGCACCUCCGCAGUCAAUGGACAGGAAUCACAACUGCCCAACAGGAAAAGGAGCAAGCACAACUUCCGUUUUUCACAAUAAAUCGAUUAACAAAAGGCGUUUUUUUUUUCAGAUGCACAGAUUUAACAACUUUUAACCACUAUCAAUGGCGGCUGAAGUUUAAAUGCACAAAAGUAAGCCAUAAAUACAGUUGCCACUAUCAAAGUAGUCACACUUUGUUGAUCCAAACACUGCUGAUCUCUCAACACAAAUGAUGGGCAGAUUAAACAGUUCAUGCCGAUGCUUCUCCCACACAACAGGUGUUUGGAUCUAACUUCCGCGUUUAUUGCUCGGACUGUAUCGCAAGAUCUCGAAAAUCCCGCGCAUGCUUGUUUGCCCCCCUCAGGUCUCCGCACCGGAGCGGAGCCGUUGUAGAGCGGGUAGCAGUAAAAAUUGAGUUCGGAAGCAAGCGGCUGCGGAAGGCGGGGGCGGAGCGGAGCGGAAGUAGUGGAAUUUGGGGGUAACCAGGAAACUACCUCCACUUUUGACCAGAAGGAACCAGAAUAUCCUCAGAUCAAAGAGGAACAGCAGGAACUCCGUAUCCGUCAGCAUGAGGGGCCGUUCAUUCCGAAGCAGGAAAAUGUUACCUCCAUGGUGUCUCCUCCUUUUGAAGAAACAGAUUUCUGUGAACCAGAACCAAACAGGAUCCAACGCUCGUGUCAGAGUUCUACUGAAGCUGAGAACCACGUUCAGGAUAGAUGCAUGAGUGGAAACUCAGAACAAAACAGCAAUGAAGAACUGACACGAAAUGAUUUACAUCAACAAACCAAAUAUUUCAUACACGGUGUAGACAUUCAGAACAUAAGGCUCAUAAAGAGAGCCAGAGGUGGGAGACCACAUGCAUGUGGAACUUGUGGUAAAAUUUUCUCUCGUAAAGCUGAUCUGACUAAACAUAUUAGAGUUCACACAGGUGAGAAACCAUAUCCAUGUAAAAUCUGUGGUAGACGUUGUGCUACGAAUGGUAACUUGACUGCUCACAUGAGAAUUCACACAGUUUUGUUCCGCGGGCUCCUGUUGAUGGAACCGUUUUUCCAUACAUCGCUGAGCCACAGAUUGUAA